GAGAUGGAUUGGUGCCUUCGGGAACGUCUGACACAGGUGCUGCAUGGCUGUUGUCAGCUCGUGUCGUGAGAUGUUGGGUUAAGUCCCGUAACGAGCGCAACCCUUGUCCUUAGUUACCAGCACGUAUGGUGGGCACUCUAAGGAGACUGCCGGUGACAAACCGGAGGAAGGUGGGGAUGACGUCAAGUCAUCAUGGCCCUUACGGCCUGGGCUACACACGUGCUACAAUGGUCGGUACAAAGGGUUGCCAAGCCGCGAGGUGGAGCUAAUCCCAUAAAACCGAUCGUAGUCCGGAUCGCAGUCUGCAACUCGACUGCGUGAAGUCGGAAUCGCUAGUAAUCGUGAAUCAGAAUGUCACGGUGAAUACGUUCCCGGGCCUU
rnacentral:rRNA from 1 species